AUUUAACGCUGGCGGCAGGCCUAACACAUGCAAGUCGAACGAGUGGCGGACGGGUAAUUCAUGUUUGGGAAACUGCCAUAUGGAGGGGGAUAACUACUGUAAACUGUAGCUAAUACCGCAUACCAUAUUGUUUUCCCAGAUGGGAUUAGCUAGUAGGUGGGGUAAAGGCUCACCAAGGCGAGGAUCCCUAGCUGGUCUGAGAGGAUGACCAGCCACACGGGAACUGAGACACGGGCCAGACGCCUAAGGUAGGCAGCAGUGGGGAAUAUUGCACAAUGGGCGCAAUCCUGAUGCAGCCAGGCCGCGUGUAUGAAGAAGGCCGUCGGGUUGUAAAGUACUUUCAGCGGGGAGGCGUUAACAGCAGAAGAAGCACCGGCUAACUCCGUGCCAGCAGCCGCGGUAAUAC
rnacentral:rRNA from 1 species